rnacentral:rRNA from 1 species
UACGUAGGGUGCAAGCGUUGUCCGGAAUUAUUGGGCGUAAAGAGCUCGUAGGCGGUCUGUCGCGUCGGAUGUGAAAACUCGGGGCUCAACCCCGAGCCUGCAUUCGAUACGGGCAGACUAGAGUUCGGUAGGGGAGACUGGAAUUCCUGGUGUAGCGGUGGAAUGCGCAGAUAUCAGGAGGAACACCAAUAGCGAAGGCAGCUCGCUGGGACGUUACUGACACUAAGGCGCGAAAGCGUGGGGAGCGAACAGG